UGGUGGCAUCAGUUGGGUCGGAUGGCUCGCCGACACCAGCGGAGUUGCAGCAGCGGACACGGAAGCUGUAGGAUUUUCCCUCGGCGAGAUCGAACAGCGCAAAGCGAGGAGACUUGACCGGGAUCUCUGUGUUAACCCUCUGCCAGCUAUCUGUGCCUGAGACACACUGACAAACCAGGGAACAAGGGUCACACUGAAACUCUGGCAUCGAACCCACUUUGGUUUCAGAUUUAAACAACACUUUCUUUCCUAUGUGAAAGGUUUUAGUCAGACUGUUACUGAAUAGAUUGCUUUACCUUCUCCACGUAGUACAUGACACCCUCAAGGCCUUUCCCUCCUGGUGGUUUCCAGCUCAGCACCACAUAGUUCUUGGUGGCCUCUGUCACCUGCAGUUCAAGUGGUCUGCCAGGAACGAUGCCCUCUGAUGGUUGAAACAAAAUAAUCAGGUUCCUCCUCUGUGACGAUGAUCUGACCAGUCCAGGGAGCAGAGGUACCUGACAACGAGAGGAUGAUAGUCAUCAAAAGUUACACUGCAAAAACUCAGAUCUAUCUGAGUGUUGCAUUAUUCCUCAUCAUUUCUCAGAAUAUCUCAUUACACAGGUUACUGUGGCUUAUUCUAAGUGUAAGCAACUUUUUUCCUGAAAUAAUAUUUCAACUUUUGUCUCAACACUUCAUUUAGAUUUUUUUUCUUCCUCAGAGAAAUUUUACGCAUCCUCUCCCUGAAAAGGAGACUGUGGGACGAAACACUAAAGCUGCAGUACCUCUCAUGCGAGCACGGUCUGCCGGGUCCAUGGCAGCCACCGGCUCAGAGACUCGGGACGGGCGGCUCAUCCCGUUUUUGUUAACAGCACGAACGCGGAAAGUGUAGGAGCGACCCUCCACCAGGCCGGUGACGGGGAAACGGGCAAACUUAACCGGGGUGUCAUUGCACUGGAUCCAGUGGUUGGUUCCAACCUCACAUCUGUGAACGUAUAAAAGUAUCAGUCUUAUAUAAUGUUCUUUUUAUGUAUCCAAGUUCUAAGAGAACCUUAUAACGUGGGGAAUUAUAGAGGGAAACUUGGAGUCACUGAAAACUUUCAGGGAAUGUUGUGGUGAUUUGAAAUUGAAAUAUUGGCGAUGAUCAUUUUGACCAAAUACUGGAACAAGAAUAAAUGAACAAAAAAUCUGUU